rnacentral:rRNA from 1 species
AUUGAACGCUGGCGGCAGGCCUAACACAUGCAAGUCGAACGGCAGCACAGAAGAGCUUGCUCUUUGGGUGGCGAGUGGCGGACGGGUGAGUAAUGUCUGGGAAACCGCCCGAUGGAGGGGGAUAACUGCUGGAAACGGUAGCUAAUACCGCAUGACGUCGCGAGACCAACGUGGGGGACCCUCGGGCCUCACACCAUCGGAUGCGCCCAGAUUGGAUUAGCAAGUAGGUGGGGGAACGGCUCACCUAGGCGACGGUCCCUAGCUGGUCUGAGAGGAUGACCAGCCACACUGGAACUGAGACACGGUCCAGACUCCUACGGGAGGCAGCAGUGGGGAAUAUUGCACAAUGGGCGCAAGCCUGAUGCAGCCAUGCCGCGUGUAUGAAGAAGGCCUUCGGGUUGUAAAGUACUUUCAGCGGGGAGGAAGGCGGUGAGGUUAAUAACCUCGCCGAUUGACGUUACCCGCAGAAGAAGCACCGGCUAACUCCGUGCCAGCCGCCGCCGUAA